UACGAAGGGGGCUAGCGUUGCUCGGAAUCACUGGGCGUAAAGGGCGCGUAGGCGGCCUGGCAAGUGGAAGGUGAAAUCCCUCGGCUUAACCGAGGAACUGCCCUCCAAACUGCUUGGCUUGAGUCCGGGAGAGGUGAGUGGAAUUCCCAGUGUAGCGGUGAAAUGCGUAGAUAUUGGGAGGAACACCAGUGGCGAAGGCGGCUCACUGGACCGGAACUGACGCUGAUGCGCGAAAGCCAGGGGAGCAAACGGG
rnacentral:rRNA from 1 species